AACUUUCAACAACGGAUCUCUUGGUUCUGGCAUCGAUGAAGAACGCAGCAAAAUGCGAUAAGUAAUGUGAAUUGCAGAAUUCAGUGAAUCAUCGAAUCUUUGAACGCACAUUGCGCCCGCCAGUAUUCUGGCGGGCAUGCCUGUUCGA
rnacentral:rRNA from 1 species